GCAGUCACAGCUGUAACCACUGAGGACACCCUUGGUCUCACCACCUUUCAGGUCUGUUCUCCUGGUGUGCCUGCACCAGAAGGGUCCUGCCUUGCUGGGAGGAGGCAGCUCUGGAGAGAUUAAGGUAUUUGCACCAUUUAGAGCUACGGUUGAUUGUUUUGAAAAUCCUCAUGGCUUGGCAAGAGAAAAAUCUCCUUAGAUUUCUCCUAAAUGCAAAGGCUUUGAAAGAACAGUACUCUGGAGCCCGUGUGAGCUUUGUGCAGAAGAACAUGUGCCUCCUGAAAGGAACUGCUCUUUCAAGAGGGUAACUUGUAAAGAAGAGCCAAAGGCUAUUUAAUGUCACUGUCCCGUAACAGCUUUAUAAUCAGGAGACCCACUAGAAACAUAUGUGAAAAUCAUCAGGAAGAUCGCCAAGGUCUAUUCAGACAGAAGAACGAAUCACACAAGGUCUCUUCCAAGUUUUCAACUUUUCUGUCAGGCGUCAGCAUCCCUCCUUUAGUUCCCUUGAUAAGAGAAACAGGCAGACCCAGUGUGCUUGGCUCUGUUCUGCUCCUCUGGCUCAUCUUUCCUGAUAUUUUCUUGAAUCGUGAACUGAACUGCAAAUAAUAGGAUUGCUUAUAUGAAAGGCUGUCUCUUUACAUGAGUAGAAGCUGUGUAUUUGGGCUCUUUGAAAACGGCUCUGCAGCAUUUUAUAUACUUUGUUCUCUGGUCAGAAGUUCAGGAUGUUCCAUUUCUAAAUCUGAUUUCCAGCUAAAAUACAAAUGCGUUGCAUUGA